rnacentral:lncRNA from 1 species
GCUGGCGGCAAUCUUGGAUAAUGGAUCGGCUACAAAGUAACAACACUUGGUCAGCACCACAUUAGGAACAUUCAUGCCAUGUUUGAUUUCAUUCCAUUCAGUGGUUCUCUAAAAGAAGUCAUUUGUAUGCAUUUCCCAUAGGGUCCUAUGUUAAACUAAGUCCCACGCUGGCGGCCAUCUUGGAUGAUGGAUAGGCUACAAAGUAACAACACUUGGUCAGCACCACAUAAGGAACAUUCAUGCCAUGUUUGGUUUCA